GAAAAAAAAACACUUACAUUGCAGGUUGCUUUCCAGAAAAAAAGUCUUUAAUUAGAAUAGUAUACAUAGUAUACGAUGGAAUUUAUUUUGACAAAAUCAGUGUUGCCAGAUCAGAGGUUUUACCUUUCUGCUCAGCGCAAGGCAAUCUGCAGGUUCUUUUGGGAUUCUGUGACACCAACCCCGCCCCCCACCAGUUGAACAUCCAAGGACCACAACACAGCCUCCUGUAAGCUGCAACGAUGAACAAUUUUAAAGACAAGACUAUUGCUGUUAUCGGGAGUGGCCUCAUCGGUCGAAGCUGGACCAUGGUGUUUAUCAGUGCAGGAUACAGAGUUAAGAUUUAUGAUGUACAGACUGGUCAAGCCGCACAUGCAAUUGAAGAAAUAAGCAAACAGCUGAAGGAGCUGCAAGAGGCUGGAAUGCUGUGAGGUUCCUUGAGUGCUCAAGAGCAGACGUCACUCAUCAGCUCCCAGGAGGACCUCGGACUGACACUAGAGGGAGCGUUCUUCGUUCAGGAGUGUGUUUAUGAAGACCUGACUGCCAAGCAAGGUAUUUUCCACAAUUUGGAGAGUCAUGUUGGUGAAGAUGUCAUCCUCAGCAGCUCAACCUCCUGUCUCCUACCCACAGAUGUGUUCUUACAAGUGAC